rnacentral:rRNA from 1 species
CAGUCGCCGCGGUAAUACGAAGGGGGCUAGCGUUGUUCGGAUUUACUGGGCGUAAAGCGCACGUAGGCGGAUCGAUCAGUCAGGGGUGAAAUCCUGGAGCUCAACUCCAGAACUGCCUUUGAUACUGUCGAUCUCGAGUCCGGAAGAGGUGAGUGGAACUCCUAGUGUAGAGGUGGAAUUCGUAGAUAUUAGGAAGAACACCAGUGGCGAAGGCGGCUCACUGGUCCGGUACUGACGCUGAGGUGCGAAAGCGUGGGGAGCAAACAGGAUUAGAUACCCCUGUAGUCCCUGUCUCUUAUAC